GACGAACGCUGGCGGCGUGCUUAACACAUGCAAGUCGAACGGAGUGGCGAGCGGGUGAGUAACACGGGGGUGAUCUGCCUUGCACUCUGGGAUAAGCUGGGGGAACUGGGUCGAAUACCGGAUAGUGCAAGAGGAGCUCGCGGCCUAUCAGCGUGUUGGUGGGGUAAUGGCCGACCAAGGGGUAGGCGGGUAGCCGGCCUGGGAGGGUGUACGGCCACAUUGGGACUUAGGUACGGCCCAGACUCCUACGGUAGGCAGCAGUGGGGAAUUUUGCACAAUGGGCGGAAGCCUGAUGCAGCGACGCCGCGUGGCGGAUGACGGCCUUCGGGUUGUAAACUCCUUUCGACAGGGACGCGGUACCUGUAUAAGAAGCACCGGCUAACUACGUGCCAGCAGCCGCGGUAAUAC
rnacentral:rRNA from 1 species